UGCAGGGGGCGGGGGAGAGAGAACACGGGACAUCUCACCAUCACGCUUCCCACAGCCUGCCCGUCCCUCCUCCACCCGCCCUCAGCAGGGUCCAGAGGGUCCCGAGGCCCAGUGCAUUCGAGACAUCGCCUCAUCAAAAAUCAUUUGUUAAAAUCAUAAUGGUAACUAAACUCCCAAAAGUUCCAAACCGGCUUCAGAUAACACCUGCUGGGAAAAGAAAAGAGCAACUAUCCGGAUGAAUGAAGUCGCACAGUAAACUCGCGUUCUCAGGGGACACGCGGCGGAGCCCUGUGCAUUCUGAUGAGACGCUCUUGAAAACCUCCCUCACUCCACGCCCCUCCUCGAGGACAGCUGUGCUCGGCACUGUCCUGAAGGACACAGGAAAUGAAAGCAUAGGUGGUCCGUUCCAAGAUGGCCAGAUAGGAACAGCUCCGGUCUCCAGCUCCCAGCAUGAUUGACACGGAAGACAGGUGAUUUCUGCAUUUCCAGCUGAGGUACAUGGUUCAUCUCAUUGGGACCGGUUGGACAGUGGGUGCAGCCCAUGGAGGGCAAGCCAAAGCGGGGGGGGCAUCACCGCACCUGGGAAGUGCAAGGGGUCGGGGAUUUCCCUUUCCUAGCCAAGGGAAGCUGUGACAUACCGUACCUGGAAAAAUGGGACAUUCCCACCUAAAUACUGCUUUUCCAAUGGUUUAAGCAAAUGGCACACCAGGAGAUUAUAUCCCAUGUCUGAGUCGGAGGGUCCUAUGCUGGCAGAGCCUUGCUCACUGCUAGCACAGCAGUCUGAGAUCAACCUGUGAGGCAGCAGCCUGGCAGGGGGAGGGGCGUCCGCCAUUGCUGAGGCUUGAGUAGGUAAACAAAGCAGCCAGGGAAGCCCAAACUGGGUGGAGGACACCACAGCUCAGCAAGGCCUGCUACCUCUGUUGAUUCCACCUCUGAGGGCAGGGCAUAGCUGAACAAAAGGCAGCAGAAACUUUUGCAGAAUUAAACGUCCCUGUCUGACAGCUCUGAAGAGAGCAGUGGUUCUCCCAGCAUGGCAUUUGAGCUCUGAGAAUGGGCAGACUGCCUCCUCCUGACCCCGUGUAGCCUAACUGGGAGACCCCUCCCAGUAGGGGCUGACUGACACCUCAUACAGGCAGGUAUCCCUCUGAAACGAAGCUUCCAGAGGAAGGAUCAGGCAGCAAUAUUUGCUGUUCUGCAAUAUUUGCUGUUCUGCAGCCUCCGCUGGUGAUACCCAGGCAAACAGGGUCUGGAGUGGACCUCCAGCAAACUCCAACAGACCUGCAGCUGAGGGACCUGAAAGGAAUACCAUCAACAUCAACAAAAAGGACAUCAACACCAAAACCCCAUCUGUAGGUCACCGACAUCAAAGACCAAAGGUAGAUAAAACCACAAAGACAAGGAGAAACAAGAGCAGAAAAGCUGAAAAUUCUAAAAACCAGAGUGCCUCUUAUCUUCCAAAGGACUGCAGCUCUUCGUCAGCGAUGAAACAAAGCUGGAUGGAGAAUGACUUUGACGAGUUGACAGAAGGAGCCUUCAGAAGGUCGGUAAUAACAAACUUCUCUGAGCUAAAGGAGGAUGUUCAAACCCAUCACAAGGAAGCUAAAAACCUUGAAAAAAGAUUAGAUAAAUGGCUAACUAGAAUAAACAGUGUAGAGAAGACCUUAAAUGACCUGAUGGAGAAUGGCAUGGGAAAUACGUGACGCAUGCACAAACUUCAGCAGCCGAUUCGUUCAAGCGGAAGAAAGGGUAUCAGUGAUUGAAGAUCAAAUGAAUGAAAUAAAUUGAGAAGAAAA